AACGAACGCUGGCGGCAUGCCUAACACAUGCAAGUCGAACGAGACCUUCGGGUCUAGUGGCGCACGGGUGCGUAACGCGUGGGAACCUGCCCUUAGGUUCGGAAUAACUCCCCGAAAGGGGUGCUAAUACCGGAUAAUGUCUUCGGACCAAAGAUUUAUCGCCUUUGGAUGGGCCCGCGUUGGAUUAACUAGUUGGUAGGGUAAAAGCCUACCAAGGCGACGAUCCAUAGCUGGUCUGAGAGGAUGAUCAGCCACACUGGGACUGAGACACGGCCCAGACUCCUACGGGAGGCAGCAGUGGGGAAUAUUGGACAAUGGGCGAAAGCCUGAUCCAGCAAUGCCGCGUGAGUGAUGAAGGCCUUAGGGUUGUAAAGCUCUUUUACCCGGGAUGAUAAUGACAGUACCGGGAGAAUAAGCUCCGGCUAACUCCGU
rnacentral:rRNA from 1 species